ensembl:snoRNA
AAGCAACACUCUGUGGCAGAUAAUCACAGCUGUCUGACACAAUUUGAGCUUGCUAUAGCAAAAAAGUCUAACCUAUUCAGGUGUUCUCUCUCCCAUGAGAUAAGCCAUUAUAUAGACUUAAACACU